rnacentral:rRNA from 11 species
CACCAGGUUGAUUCUGCCUGACGUGGAUGCUAGUCUCAUAGAUUUAGCCAUGCAUGUGUAAGCGAAGCGAUUAGUGGAGCGGCGGACGGCUCAGUAACAGGCAAGUAUUUGAUCUCCAUAACCGGACAACCUCAGGAAACAGAGGGGAAAACGGAUUAAGAGCAUGUGAAGAACAUGUGAUGAUAACUCAUUAGAGUGAUGGAGAGUAAGAAGUCAGCCCAUCAGUUAAUAUGUAGGGUAAGGGCCUACUUAGACGAAGACGGGUACGGGGGAUUAGGGUUUGAUUCCGGAGAGGGAGCCUGAGAGAUGGCUACCAGGUCUAAGGAACGCAGCAGGCACGAAAAUUACCGAAGCCCACGAAGGGGCGGUAGUGAAGAGACGUAAAAACAAUGAUCAGUAAAUAAGAUCUAGGUAACUGGAGGACAAGUCUGGUGCCAGCACCAGCGGUAAUACCAGCUCCAGGAGUGUCUAUGAUGAUUGCUGCGAUUAAAAGGUCCGUAGUCGAAUAGGAAGGCCCGUCUGUAAUGUGAAAUAUCAAGUUUGAAUAAGGACGGGAAGAACUAUGAAUAAGGAGCGAUAAGAGGCUAGAUUAUUGUAGAGCGAGGGGUGAAAUCUGAUGACCUCUACAGGAGUAACAGAGGCGAAGGCGCUAGCCGGGAGCGUUUCCGAUGAUCAAGGACGUAGGCCGGGGUAUCGAAAACGAUUAGAUACCGUAGUAGUCCCGGCAGUCAACGAUGCCGACACAGUUGGACAGAGAUGUGUGACUGAAGAGAAAUCGAGUAGGGCUAUGGGGAGAGUACGUGCGCAAGCAUAAAAUUUAAAGGAAAUUGACGGAAGAGCACCACAAGGAGUGGAGUGUGCGGCUUAAUUUGACUCAACGCGGGACAACUUACCAUCGCGGAUGGCCGGGAGAGUGUAGUACACGAUAGGUCAAGGAGUGGUGCAUGGCCGUUAUCGACUAGUGGGGUGACCUUUUGGUUAAUUCCGCUAAGUAGUGAGAUCUCUGGGAACCAAUUUAUUGGUACGACAUGUGUUAAAAACACAGGAAGAAAGAGCCAAGAACAGGUCAGUGAUGCCCUUAGGCGUGAUGGGCUGCACGCGCACUACAGUGGUCACAACAGAGAAUUAGAAGAAAUAAAUGUGAUCGAGAGGGAAUGAGCACUGUAAUGUGCACAGGAACGAGGAAUUGCUAGUAAUCGUUGCCUCAUUAAGGAGCGAUGAAUGAGUCCCUGCUCUUUGUACACACCGCCCGUCGUUAUCGAAGAUGAAACCAGGUGCGAACAAGCUAAAGCGAGUGAGUGCAGGGUUUUAGAUCUGAUACAAGUCGUAACAAGGCAGCUGUAGGUGAACCUGUAGCUGGAUCAAUA